AACUGGUUGGGAGCUGUUGCCGCUUCCCUGAUGAGUCCAUGGUCGGGAGAAACCAGAU
rnacentral:hammerhead_ribozyme from 17 species